rnacentral:rRNA from 1 species
GACGAACCGUGCGAACGUUGUUCGGAAUCACUGGGCUUAAAGGGCGCGUAGGCGGGCCGGCAAGUCAGGGGUGAAAGCCCGCAGCUCAACUGCGGAAGGGCCUUUGAUACUGCCGGUCUGGAGGGAGGUAGGGGCGUGCGGAACUUCCGGUGGAGCGGUGAAAUGCGUAGAUAUCGGAAGGAACACCGGUGGCGAAAGCGGCGCGCUGGACCUCUUCUGACGCUGAGGCGCGAAAGCCAGGGGAGCAAACGGG